GCCCUCAUAGCUCAGUGGAUAGAGCGUUCGCCUCCGGAGCGAAAGGUCGUGGGUUCGAUCCCCACUGAGGGCACCA
rnacentral:tRNA from 1 species